AUUCCAUCUUAAUCGUAGAAUUUU
rnacentral:snRNA from 1 species